AUCGAUUGAAAUGAAUGUUUGUACAAAUUCGAUGUUGUAUUGCAGAUUGAAGCAUCAAUAACCAAAUACCUAGACAUCAAUAACCAGGAAGCUGAACAACAGGUGCCUUUGUAUGACCUGCCCUCCAAAAUUCUUUACCGGGUGCAUGUUGAACAAGAUACCGAUGAAGUGUUUGCUCAUAUUACUUUGGUUCCCGAUACAGAGCAGGAUGACUGCUCCACUGAUAUGGAUCCUCCGCGUCCACCCCCUCCAAGACCACCUGCGCAUUCCUUUCGUAAGACUCACAGUUUCUGAGACAAGUUCACGUGGAUUUUUAUCUGUUCCCAAGAGACAGGCUGA